UCCCGGCUAGCUCAGUCGGUAGAGCGUCAGACUCUUAUCUACAAGGGUUUCCGAGAUCUUCUCGGAGUUCAUCUGAAUGUCGUGGGUUCGAGCCCCACGUUGGGAG
rfam:Tstilago hordei, Th4857-4, WGS project CAGI01000000 data, contig: THOR_scaffold_5.00006